rnacentral:rRNA from 1 species
AGUGAACGCUGGCGGCGUGCCUAAUACAUGCAAGUCGAACGGAGAUUAAGUAGCUUGCUAUUUAAUCUUAGUGGCGCACGGGUGAGUAAUAUAUAGCUAAUCUGCCCUACACUAGAGGACAACAGUUGGAAACGACUGCUAAUACUCUAUACUCCUUCUAAGCAUAAGCUUAGUCGGGAAAGUUUUUCGGUGUAGGAUGAGGCUAUAUCGUAUCAGCUAGUUGGUAGGGUAACGGCUUACCAAGGCUAUGACGCGUAACUGGUCUGAGAGGAUGAUCAGUCACACUGGAACUGAGACACGGUCCAGACUCCUACGGGAGGCAGCAGUAGGGAAUAUUGCUCAAUGGGGGAAACCCUGAAGCAGCAACGCCGCGUGGAGGAUGACACUUUUCGGAGCGUAAACUCCUUUUCUUGG